AUUGAACGCUGGCGGCAUGCUUUACACAUGCAAGUCGAACGGUAACAGGCCGCAAGGUGCUGACGAGUGGCGAACGGGUGAGUAAUGCAUCGGAACGUGCCCAAUCGUGGGGGAUAACGCAGCGAAAGCUGCGCCAAUACCGCAUACGAUCUAUGGAUGAAAGCGGGGGACCGUAAGGCCUCGCGCGAUUGGAGCGGCCGAUGUCAGAUUAGGUAGUUGGUGGGGUAAAGGCUCACCAAGCCAACGAUCUGUAGCUGGUCUGAGAGGACGACCAGCCACACUGGGACUGAGACACGGCCCAGACUCCUACGGGAGGCAGCAGUGGGGAAUUUUGGACAAUGGGCGCAAGCCUGAUCCAGCAAUGCCGCGUGCAGGAAGAAGGCCUUCGGGUUGUAAACUGCUUUUGUACGGAACGAAACGGCUCUGGUUAAUACCUGGGGCUAAUGACGGUACCGUAAGAAUAAGCACCGGCUAACUACGUGCCAGCCGCCGCCGUAAUAC
rnacentral:rRNA from 1 species